GCUUAAGUGCGCGGCGCCCUUAUUUCCUAAUGCGCCAUUAUGCCGCCUCCUGGAGUGUCAGCGUCUUCAACUAGAGUUGCAGAUAGGGCAUUUUGUUUGAUUCACUAAUUUAGAAGCGGCUUAGCUGCCACUUAUUUUUUCUUUGGGGCAUUUCGUUUGGGAUUCCGAAUACAACUGGAUUUGAGGAGAGAAGAGGAGCCUUACCAGCUUUGCAGUUAGCAAUGCUUUGGAGUCUUUCUUUGACAGGGAAAUUAGUAAAGUAAAAAUUCUCCAGGCAAAACUACUGGAGUGGAACCCAUUUCUUUAUCCAUGGGAAUCUUCUUGACCCAGGGAUUGAACCUAGAUCCUACUGCAUUGCAGGUAGAUUCUUUACCUUCUGAAACACCAAGUAAAAUGAGUAAUAUAUUCAUUGAACAUAAGCCUGGGAGAUUUGGAAGUGUAUAGGUAACGGUAUUUAACCCCUGGAACUGCACCUUAAAACCCAUGAGUUCAAGUGUUCUUGUUGCCCAGGCACUUACUGAAAUUUACAAGAAAUGUCAGAGACCGUAUGGGCAGGUGACCUGGAAGUAUAGUGACCUGGAAGGAGACCUUUUCAGGUUUCCUAUCUGGUGAAAACUUGAUGUUACGACACUAAGAUAUUGACCUCUUUAUUGGUCUUAAAACUGGAAAGUAGGUGCCCAUGAGAAUCUGCAUGUCUUAAAGAAAUCCAUCAAUUUCUAAUGGAAUUGUGAACUUAAAUAAAGAUGACUAUGUAUUUGUGUGGUC
ensembl:lncRNA